GGUAUCCUACGGGCGCAGCAGUGGGGAAUAUUGCACAAUGGGGGAAACCCUGAUGCAGCAACGCCGCGUGAGUGAAGAAGUAUUUCGGUAUGUAAAGCUCUGUCAGCAGGGAAGAAAGCAAUGACGGUACCUGACCAAGAAGCCCCGGCUAACUACGUGCCAGCAGCCGCGGUAAUACGUAGGGGGCAAGCGUUAUCCGGAAUUACUGGGUGUAAAGGGAGCGUAGACGGCUGUGCAAGUCUGGAGUGAAAGGCGGGGGCCCAACCCCCGGACUGCUCUGGAAACUGUAUGGCU
rnacentral:rRNA from 1 species